rnacentral:rRNA from 1 species
UACAGAGGUCCCGAGCGUUGUUCGGAUUCAUUGGGCGUAAAGGGUGCGUAGGCGGCUUCCUAAGUUUGAUGUGAAAUCCUGGGGCUCAACCCUGGAACUGCAUUGAAUACUGGGAGACUAGAGUACUGGAGAGGAAACUGGAAUUUACGGUGUAGCAGUGAAAUGCGUAGAGAUCGUAAGGAAGACCAGUGGCGAAGGCGAGUUUCUGGACAGUUACUGACGGCUGAGGCACGAAGGCCAGGGGAGCAAACGGG